GCCAGCAUGAUAUAGUGGUUUGAACAUUGGACUAUGACUCUGGAGACCAGGCUUCGAAUCCUGGUCCAGCCA
rnacentral:tRNA from 1 species